rnacentral:rRNA from 1 species
GAUGAACGCUAGCUACAGGCUUAACACAUGCAAGUCGAGGGGCAGCGGUAUCGAAAGCUUGCUUUCGGUAGCCGGCGACCGGCGCACGGGUGAGUAACGCGUAUCGAACCUGCCUCAUACUCGGGAAUAGCCUUGCGAAAGUAAGAUUAAUGCCCGGUGUUUUCAGAGUCCCGCAUGAGGCUUUGAACAAAGAUUUAUCGGCAUGAGAUGGCGAUGCGUCCCAUUAGCUUGUUGGCGGGGUAACGGCCCACCAAGGCAUCGAUGGGUAGGGGUUCUGAGAGGAAGGUCCCCCACAUUGGAACUGAGACACGGUCCAAACGCCUACGGGAGGCAGCAGUGAGGAAUAUUGGUCAAUGGGCGGAAGCCUGAACCAGCCAAGUAGCGUGCAGGAAGACGGCCCUCCGGGUUGUAAACUGCUUUUAGUUGGGAAUAAAACGGGGCUCGUGAGCCCCCUUGCAUGUACCAUCAGAAAAAGGACCGGCUAAUUCCGUG